rnacentral:rRNA from 1 species
UACGUAGGGGGCAAGCGUUGUCCGGAUUCAUUGGGCGUAAAGAGCUCGUAGGCGGUUCAGUAAGUCGGGUGUGAAAUCUCCGUGCUCAACACGGAGCGGCCACCUGAUACUGCUGUGACUCGAGUCCGGUAGGGGAGUGUGGAAUUCCCGGUGUGGCGGUGAAAUGCGCAGAUAUCGGGAGGAACACCAGUAGCGAAGGCGGCACUCUGGGCCGUGACUGACGCUGAGGAGCGAAAGCGUGGGUAGCAAACAGG